GUGUAGUGCGGUGCAGCUGAAAAGAAGAUAUGUUCGACUGCACUUUCUCGCCUCGAAUGACAUCUGUUGGAAAAACUACUCUGUCGGAUUAUUCGAGCCUAGGAAUCUUAUUUGUUAACGAGACGUUCGAGAUACCGAAAUUCGGCGAAUUCACUCGGAACACACAAACGCCGAAGGCACCUGUACGAAGUUGGAGGCCCGCCGAAGAACUACUGGUAGCGUGGGCGUCGAUACCUUCGAGGAGACACGAACACCAAGAAUCUAUCAACAAACUAGAAGACUCACCUCGCUGGAACAUGAACUGCAUUCCGUAACACAUAAUCUUCCAUUCAAGAAGAAGAAAACUACAGCAGGCGCGCCGAGGAGCACGUCUCGCGGUGUUCCAUCGCGGAGAAAGUCAUCGCCGGCAACAAUGACGACGGCUGCCAUCGUCGUCGCCACCACCAUCACCACCACCACCACCACCACCACCACCACCACCACCACCACCACCUCCGCCACCAUCACCAUCACUGUCCUAGCCGCCGCCGUUGUCACCGCUGUGGUUGUCGUAUUUACCGCGAUGUAUUCACCGAUACACCGGGAAAAGAAGACGAGGCGAAGAAAAGGGGGAGAGGAAAAAAAAGCGCCACUGCGAGGAACAAUAAUUAAUUCGUACGCGAAACACGUACGCGCCGGACACGCACACGCACGACCGCCGGCCGCGAUGGAACGCGCGCGCUUGUUGUUCUCCAUCCUUCUCUCCAUCCGGUACCACGGAAUAUUCGGCUGCCAAUCGCGACGGCCGCGGCCGCGUGGCGGAUAUAAAUACAUGCCGUGCGGUCCUCGGCACUGGUGCCGGCCGCGCCAGGCUGUUUAAUUAGUAUAAAAAUUCGUCGAUGGAUUUCCGCGGGCGAACCCCCUGCUCUCGCGUGCGGCGCAAGAUGGUCGGGAGAGACGCCGGGGUGCUCGCGCGCUCUAAUGACGACGGCUCCUUUCCGGCGUACGUAUUUUUAGGACGGAGGAUUUUAGGGGGUAGGCGUUUUCGCGCAAGAUCAUUCCUCGUGUCGUUAAAUCGAUCUUUAUCGCUGUCGUAGACUUGAUAAAGAUUGAGCGGAAUUAAUCGCUCGCGGAAAGCAAGUUCCGCCACAAACAGCGGCGCGAGCGGACGACAAUAAGGUCCAAAACCGGGACGUAAGAUAAGAUGCCCUUUGACACGAAGUCCAAAAGAUGCUUACUCUGGAUUGCUACUGUAGAUGAGUGCUCACUCAAGUGUAGUACAGUUUUUGUGUUAAAAAUUUUGUUGUUAAAAUAACAUUUAGCAAGUUUUUUUUAAAUUAAAAUAGUAUUAGUUUCAUCGUUCUAACUUCGCAAUUUACAUUGAGAAAAAAAGUCGAAAUAUUCAGAAACAUAUAUAUAUAUUUCUGUAGAUUUUAUUCUUCUUGUGCAUUUAUUUGUGUUAAAAACAAUUUUUAGUUAUUAUUUCUUAAGCGAAAAGUAGUGUUAGAAAAAAUAUGAAAAUAGCUUUUCAGAGUUAACGAUGUCUUUAAACACGUAUGUCUAUAUGCGUUGAUAUGCGAGGACAUAGCAAUGGGAGUAAUCGAUGUUUUUGAAAGUGGAAUUUACCAAAAUUGCUACGAAUAUAGAAGCAUAGAAAUAGAACCAGAUAUAGAAUCCGAUUUCUCCGACAAAUGUGUAGCGACGUUAAUCCGCGAUCAGCGACGUCGCGAUCGGUAAAUUAAUAGCGAGGAAAAAAGAUGGAUUCACCGUUAUUUCCAGAAUCGUCAUUUCCCACAGCGGGGAACAAUGCGCAACAUUGACGACGGCGACGAGGAACGUAGAGGCGUAGAGGAUCUCGGUAGAAGUAGGCCGUGCAAAUGAGGUGGACUCCGUGGAACGCGUUUGCUAUAACCGAGGCAACCGCGAGUCGCGCGUGUUAAUUGCAGAACAAGCGGCUACAGUUUUGUAGGGCGCGACGGACGAUAUGCGUCUCGACGGCUCAACGGGGGCAGGACGUCGAAACGAGAGACGCAAAAGAUUUCCCUCCUUUCCCCUCUCCCCUUUCCUGCCGCCGAGAUCGACGUCGGUCCUGGCUCGGAAGGAAAGAUGAAAAGGUACAUACGUCCUGGCCGGCCGUUAUUAGCGCGCUAAUAAUUAAAAGGGGAGAGGAGGGGGCGGUAAUUAACUCCAGUUGAGACUCGAGUGAUAACACGGCACACCUGCGGUCAACAAGUCGUUUUACAGGGCGCUCAUAAUUGCGCGGUGUCUCUAAUUAGCGAAACGCCGAUGGAAAAACUUCCAGGCCGGUCCGAUCGGCUCGGCGUCUCUCUAUAAUCGUAUCUCUGUGUCUCUAUACUUUGAGACCCACGGCGGGAUCCGUAGGAAUGGAAUCCGGAGGGUCUUACUAUGUUACCAUGAAUGUGAAUGUAGAGGGAAGAAUCCUUCCGCUCAUCGGCGGGAUCGGGUGUUCCGGGGGGCCGUCAGACGCGGCCCGGCGAUCGGAGGAAAGCGAGAGAUUCGCGAAGUCACUCCGCGAUUUUUUACCCGAUUUUUCAUCUUAUGGAGAUGCGACGACAUCUCGAAAGUCCGCUCGGGAGACGAUCAUCGGCCAAUUUCGAUCGUCGCGGUUCCGGUUCCAAUUAGCGGACUCCGUCGGAUCCGCGAGCACCACACCCCAAUUGAUACCACGCGCUUUUAAUUCGCGGCCGAUCGCUCUCGCGGACGGGCCUCGUGAGGUAAGACGCGAGUAACGUAACUUACGCAACAUUUUUAUCGCCCUCUCGCCGGAAUAUUCAAAACAGAUACCUAUGCGCGACAGCUUGCCGCCGAGAUCGUGCCGGGGACUCCCCGGCUCGAGCCUAGAAUAAUCGCGCGGAAUCGAGGUGUCAUAUAAUUAAAGAAAAACGGCUCUUGUCGGUGAGCGUAUGAAAAAGAGCUCGCUCGCGUGUAUCGAGGUGAGAUUUCCUUUUUACGUGUCCGCGGCCUGGCAGUGUCGCUAAGAAACAGUCAUUUCUUCCUCCUCCGUCCCCCCUCUCUCUUUAAAUCGCGUCGUCUCGGUAUUACAAAAAAAACUCUCUUUUAUCGCUAUCGGUGAUACCACGCCCGAGGUUGCACGCGCGCCUUAUCGCGAUAUACAUGGGGGAAAUCAAACGCGUCCCGCGGUAUCCGCAAUAACGCACUGUCGGCAUGUUUGUAAAUCCGCGCGAAGAUCCGCACGACACUCCCCCGGGAUCCCUCCGGCUUGCACGAGGAAUGCGCCGAGUGUCGAUCGAGAAAAGUGUCGGCCGAUCCGAGGGAACAACGGUGACGAGGAUGGCUCGACGAGUGGAAGCCGCGUUUAAGCGCUAUAAUAAACGCGACCCGAGUGGAAUGCAUCUCGAUUAUCUUAGAAAAAAGACAGAGAAAGAAAAAAAGGGAGGAUCUCACUAGAGUGGAAUUUCCAAUCGACAUAGUUAUAUAUUUACUAUAAUAGUUAUAAGUUUUAGUACGCACCUUAUAGAACUUAAAACUUGUUGCUGUAGUUGUACUCGUAUUAUUUCGUCCUUUUUUUUUUAAGUAACAAUGAUAUAUUUAUAUAAUUUUUUUUUUUUAUAACGUCUAAUUCCAAUUAUCAAAUUCUACGUGAUGUGUAUGUUAUGUAAAUGUAGCAUUUGCACAUUUAUAUUUUAUGAAAGAAACCAGUAGAUACAAAUAACUGUGAUAUAAAUAUUACGAUUUGUUAUACGUAAAUAUUAUUUUCAAAUUACAUAGCAGGUUUACAAAUUGCGUCGAUUGGGUUGUUUCACUUACUUGAGAAGAUUUGAGGCUCCACUUUUGUUAAGCACAGAGCGAUAAUCUCAGCUCAAUCGCGCACGAGUUUCCCCGAGAGUUAAUCCGUCGUUCUUCCUCUAACGCGAUAUCCAUAGUUUUUGUGAGAAUCCUGAUGUCUCGCGACCGGUAUCGCACACGGGCCGUCAUAUUCAAUCGUAGCGCGCAAUCACAAUCGUAUUCCGAGCACGACGCGGAGAUCAGUGCGACGACACGGCGGCCGCGGAUCGUUUUAACUAGGAAAUCGUUCUCGCCUUACAGGAUGCCGGUGCGUCAAUAUUGACACAUUUCUUACGAAACGCGCGAGAGAACCGGGCUUUCGUCCGUCCUCUAUCUCCCCGGUCCUCCUCUACCUGGGGAAUGCCGAAAAAUCCCCCGUAUAGACUCCCGAGGAAUAAAUGUUUCUCCUACAAUUCUUCAAUAAGCCUUUCUUUCGGAUGAGUAGAAAAGUAAUUACAUAUCACCUUCUGUACAACUGUUAUGAUUGCCUAUGUGAUUUACGUGUUACGCGAGUGAAACUUAAAUAACGUAACAAACGUGGAAGAGUGUGCGGGAAACAGGAAAUUGAUUCGGUGAACAAAAGAUUCGUUGGAUAACGAAGACAAUUCCGUAUUGAUUAAACGUGAAAAGUCGCGUAACAGCAACGAACAUCGAUGACACUCGGUUUGUGUAACAAAAUCGAAUGUCGAUACAUCAGUAUCAAUCAACAGUUUUAGCUGUAAUUAAUACAUUAAUUUAUUAAUAUUUAACGACUUCUAUUAACUUAUUGAGACUCACAGUUAAAUCAGCCAAAAAUAACAAUUGGUUGCAAAAUUGAUUUCCAAUUAUUAUUUUUUGAAGGAUUUCAACAUAGGCUUGACAUUUUUAUUACAGCAAAAAGAAAAUUUUUUUUUAUCAAUUGACUGAUCAUAGGCCUUAAUGAGUUAAUCAGAUUUGUCUACCUGCUACGAAAAAUCUAAAACUUGAUCAAGGAUAAUCAAAUCCAUAAACAGUAUAAUGUUAAUUCUUUAUUUCCUAUUUUAUAGUCUCUUAAUCAUAUAACAACAACUGCCAAGUAACAAUGUCGCAAUAUAUGCAUAUCGAUAAUUUAACGCAAGCAGGACCGUGCCUGUGUAUAAAUAAAAAUUGGCAAGGAAAAAAACAAUCCAUAUAUAUCACUAUCAAUAUGUACAUACAUCUUAUCGAACGUUACAUUCCGUGAAUUAUAUCCCGCAAUACGCGGGUCAUUCGUGGUUUACUUCAUUAAAAUGUACUACCCUGCACGCAGUAUAACGGAAACGAAUUAUUAGGCAACUACACUUGUCACGCAAUGGAUGGAUCUUUUUUCCUUUGGCCGGUACUCGGUGUGAAACGAAGUUACCGAGGUACAGAUAUUCGCAUGAUUCACAAUACAACGCAGAAAGAAGACGCUUUUUCAUGUCAAAAACGCGAUUAUACUCGUUAAUAUCGAAACGUCAAAGAACGAGACAAGAAACUUCGUUUUACUCCUAACAAUAAAAUAAAGACCCUGUUAACAAGCAUUCUAUGUCUCUUUUGCGUUACGGUAAUAUCGCAAUGGCGAUUACCGCGGCACAAUACACCUAAGAAAUCCAUGAAACAUAUAAAAAUAUCUUUACAAAGGUAAAAUAUAUAACAUAAAAAAAUUUUUUUUAAAAAGAGAGAAAGUAAAACAAAGCAAGUCAGUAAUUCGGUUAAAAUGACUAAAAUGGUCAAGUAAUUAUUUAUAACUUUGUGCAUGAAAAUUAAGUAGAAUCGCGAUCAUAAAUUUGUGCAACGGAGACUAAAGUUAUUAUUGGUAAACCUUAAACACUUGCUGCAAGCAAAUUAACAAAUUAGAUAAAACAGUCACAGUCUAAUACGAACAAGUAAUUGGACAUUAAUUAUAUAAAUUAAAUGUAAAUAUUAGAUAAAAACAUAACAAGAAAAAUGACUUGAACCGCAUACAAAAAUAUAUCACGUAAACUUUCGUAAACUUUU